UUUCGAAGGGGAUGCGCUCGUAAUUGAUUUAGAGAGGGGUGAGCAAAGCGUGAGGGCGGUAUUUCACCGAACAG
rnacentral:SRP_RNA from 1 species